UGUGUACAUUGUUAGAACUUGGAGUUGAGGUUACUGACUGGCUGGUGAGCUCACAAGGGUAGACAGUGUGCUACAUGAGCCGCAAGAUUUUGCUAACACCACAAGGGUAUCUGGCCCAAUGAGGGGAGUUUGACAGUAAUCCUUGCUAUGAAU
ensembl:snoRNA SNORA62 Small nucleolar RNA SNORA62/SNORA6 family